GCACAAGCGGUGGAGUAUGUGGUUUAAUUCGACGCAACGCGCAGAACCUUACCUAGACUUGACAUCCCGGGGAUUUUCUGGAAACAGAGAAGUGCUUUAGCAAUAAAGAACCCGGUGACAGGUGCUGCAUGGCUGUCGUCAGCUCGUGUCGUGAGAUGUUGGGUUAAGUCCCGCAACGAGCGCAACCCUCGCCUUUAGUUGCCAGCAUUCAGUUGGGCACUCUAGAGGGACUGCCGGUGUCAAACCGGAGGAAGGUGGGAUGACGUCAAGUCCUCAUGGCCUUUAUGUCUAGGGCUACACACGUACUACAAUGGCCGGUACAAAGGGCAGCCACUCAGCGAUGAGGCGCUAAUCCCAUAAAGCCGGUCUCAGUCCGGAUCGCAGUCUGCAACUCGACUGCGUGAAGUCGGAAUCGCUAGUAAUCGUGGAUCAGCAUGUCACGGUGAAUACGUUCCCGGGUCUU
rnacentral:rRNA from 1 species